GGCGCUGAGCUGCCGCCUGCCGCUCUAGCUCAUGGGCAGCGAUGCGGCGGGGGGGGAGAGGUAGGGAGAGAGAGAGAGAGAGAGGAGGCGGAGGGUGGGUGAAACUCAGCUCUGGGUCAGGCUGCUUUUCUCUCCCCGCUGUGCAGAGGGUGGGCAGGGAGGAGGAGGAGGAUGGGCGAACAAAAGGCUGGGAGAUAAGAAAGAAGUAGUCGCUGCUGCUGCUGCUGCGAGGAGGCCGGUGCGGCGGCUGUGCCCGGCUCCGUGCCCCCGCCCGGAUCGUGCCCGCCUCUCUCCUCCCCGCCGCGCUCAGCGCCUGAGCCCGGGCGUGCCGGCACCGCCGCUGCUCCGGCCCCAGCCCUGCUGCAUGCUCUCUCUCUCUCUCUCCCCCUUCACUUUCUCUCUCCCUCUUUCUUCUCCUCCCUCCACCCCUCCCCCUGCACGCACAGCCCUCCGCCGAAGCGCAGCGAUAACAAUACCGAGCAGCCUCUGCCUGCCAAAAUAACGCAAAACGCCAUGCUCGGGCUUUGCCAGAAAACACCGGAUUUGCUUUUAUGUUUUGUCGGGGACAGGCGGGCUCCAGUUCUGGCAGUCUUCCACUUCCAUCCCACACUGAUCACUUUACAUCCCUCUGUAUUCUCUCCUCACACUGAUUUGGAGUCAUCAUGA
rnacentral:lncRNA from 1 species